UGCACUCACUACUGUAAGUCGCUUUGGAUAAGGGUGUCUGCUAAAUGACUAAAA
rfam:Salmo salar isolate Sally breed double haploid chromosome ssa15, whole genome shotgun sequence.